CAGUGUUUGAGCAGUUAUGAUAUCAGGGACAAUCUAGACAUGUGUGACAAUACUGAACAUGUCACAUGACACACCUCAAACAUCAUGUGAUCCACUCUCAGUCUGCACUUUCAUUCAUGACUUCAACAGGUUGAAAUGAGCUUUGAAGAAACAUUCAGUGAAAUAAAUCUUUCAUCACAGGAUUCAUAUCCCUGCUGUUCCCCAGCUGCCCUGUAGGUGGCCUCAGUGUGUCUCACACCAUUUACAGAUGAUUACAGAUGUUGGACCAAAGUGAAGCUUUAGUUUGGGCAGCUGCUGAAGGAGAGGAACAUUGCGUUCAGGUCUGGCAA
ensembl:lncRNA